rfam:Phytophthora infestans T30-4 supercont1.387 genomic scaffold, whole genome shotgun sequence.
GGAGAAAUGGCUGAGUGGUUAAAGGUGGCAGACUGUAAAUUUGUUGAAGUAAUUUCUACGUAGGUUCGAAUCCUACUUUCUCCA